rnacentral:rRNA from 1 species
GUCCACGCCCUAAACGAUGCGAACUGGACGUUGGGCUCAACUAGGAGCUCAGUGUCGAAGCUAACGCGUUAAGUUCGCCGCCUGGGGAGUACGGUCGCAAGACUGAAACUCAAAGGAAUUGACGGGGCCCGCACAAGCGGUGGAGUAUGUGGUUUAAUUCGAUGCAACGCGAAGAACCUUACCUGGCCUUGACAUCCACGGAAGUCUGCAGAGAUGCGGAUGUGCCUUCGGGAACCGUGAGACAGGUGCUGCAUGGCUGUCGU